AUCUAAUAAUUUAUAAAAAAAUACCUACUUUGGAUGUAGAAUUAAUCCAAC
rnacentral:tRNA from 2 species